CCUACGGGUGGCAGCAGUGGGGAAUAUUGCGCAAUGGGCGAAAGCCUGACGCAGCGACGCCGCGUGAGGGAUGAAGGUCUUCGGAUCGUAAACCUCUGUCAGCAGGGAAGAACGGUCACUGUGCUAAUCAGCAGUGAAUUGACGGUACCUGCAAAGGAAGCACCGGCUAACUCCGUGCCAGCAGCCGCGGUAAUACGGAGGGUGCGUGCGUUAAUCGGAAUUACUGGGCGUAAAGCGCUCGUAGGCGGGAUGUCAAGUCAAGGGGGAAAUCCCCGCGCUCAACGUGGGAACUGCCUUUGAAACUGGCAAACUGGAGUGUGUGAGAGGAUAGUGGAAUUCGAGGUGUAGGAGUGAAAUCCGUAGAUAUCUGGAGGAACAUCAGUGGCGAAGGCGACUAUCUGGCACAUAACUGACGCUGAGGAGCGAAAGCGUGGGUAGCAAACAGGAUUAGAUACCCGAGUAGUC
rnacentral:rRNA from 1 species